UUUGUACUCCCUUUGUCCGAAAAUACUUGUCAUCAAAAUGGAUAAAAAGAGAUGUAUCUAAAACUAAAAUACGUCUAGAUGCAUCCCCUUUUAUCCAUUUUGAUGACAAAUAUUUCCGGACGGAGGGAGUAAUAA
rnacentral:pre_miRNA from 1 species